rnacentral:rRNA from 1 species
UACGGGGGGGUGAAGCGUUGUUCGGAAUUACGUGGGCGGUAAAGGGCUCGUAGGCGGCCAACUAAGUCAGACGGUGAAAUCCCUCAGCUUAAACCUGGGGGAACUGCGUCUGAUACUGGAUGGCUUGGAUCCGGGAAGGAGGGAUGGCGGAAUUCCAGGUGUAGCGGUGAAAUGCGCAGAUAUCUGGAGGAAUACCGGUGGCGAAGGCGGCAUCCUGGGACCGGUAUUGACGCUGAGGCGCGGAAAGCCAGGGAAGCAAGGCGGGAU